rnacentral:rRNA from 1 species
GAUGAACGCUGGCGGCGUGCUUAACACAUGCAAGUCGAACGAUGAAGCCCAGCUUGCUGGGUGGAUUAGUGGCGAACGGGUGAGUAACACGUGAGUAACCUGCCCUUGACUCUGGGAUAAGCCUGUGAAACUGGGUCUAAUACUGGAUAUGACUUCUCAUCGCAUGGUGGGGGGUGGAAAGAUUUAUUGGUCUUGGAUGGACUCGCGGCCUAUCAGCUUGUUGGUGAGGUAAUGGCUCACCAAGGCGACGACGGGUAGCCGGCCUGAGAGGGUGACCGGCCACAAUGGGACUGAGACACGGCCCAGACUCCUACGGGAGGCAGCAGUGGGGAAUAUUGCACAAUGGGCGCAAGCCUGAUGCAGCGACGCCGCGUGAGGGAUGACGGCCUUCGGGUUGUAAACCUAUUUCAGUAGGGAAGAAGCGAGAGUGACGGUACCUGCAGAAGAAGCGCCGGCUAACUACGUG